GACGAACGCUGGCGGCGUGCUUAACACAUGCAAGUCGAACGGAAAGGCCCAGCUUGUGGGGGGUGCUCGAGGGGAGAACGGGAGAGAAACGCGUGAGUAACCUGCCCUUGACUGUGGGAUGACUUGAGGAAAGUGGGGCUUAUACCGUAUAGGAGCUCCUGCUGCAGGGGGGGGGGUGGAAAGUUUCGGCGGUUGGGGAUGGACUCGCGGCUUAUCAGCUUGUUGGUGGGGUAGUGGCUUACCAAGGCUUCGACGGGUAGCCGGCCUGAGAGGGUGACCGGCCACACUGGGACUGAGAUACGGCCCAGACUCCUACGGGAGGCAGCAGUGGGGAAUAUUGCACAAUGGGCGGAAGCCUGAUGCAGCAACGCCGCGUGCGGGAUGACGGCCUUCGGGUUGUAAACCUCUUUCGCUUGUGACGAAGCGAGAGUGACGGUACCUGGUAAAGAAGCGCCGGCUAACUACGUG
rnacentral:rRNA from 1 species